CCUACGGGAGGCAGCAGUGGGGAAUUUUGGACAAUGGGCGCAAGCCUGAUCCAGCAAUGCCGCGUGAGUGAAGAAGGCCUUCGGGUUGUAAAGCUCUUUUGUCAGGGAAGAAACGGUGGGGGCUAAUAUCCUCCACUAAUGACGGUACCUGAAGAAUAAGCACCGGCUAACUACGUGCCAGCAGCCGCGGUAAUACGUAGGGUGCAAGCGUUAAUCGGAAUUACUGGGCGUAAAGCGUGCGCAGGCGGUUUUGUAAGUUUGUCGUGAAAUCCCCGGGCUCAACCUGGGAAUGGCGAUGAAGACUGCAAGGCUAGAAUCUGGCAGAGGGGGGUAGAAUUCCACGUGUAGCAGUGAAAUGCGUAGAGAUGUGGAGGAACACCGAUGGCGAAGGCAGCCCCCUGGGUCAAGAUUGACGCUCAUGCACGAAAGCGUGGGGAGCAAACAGGAUUAGAUACCCUGGUAGUCCACGCCCUAAACGAUGUCUACUAGUUGUCGGGUUUUAAUUAACUUGGUAACGCAGCUAACGCGUGAAGUAGACCGCCUGGGGAGUACGGUCGCAAGAUUAAAACUUCAAAGGAAUUGACGGNNGNGAGNGCGAGAGACGACGAGGAGAG
rnacentral:rRNA from 1 species